AUUGAACGCUGGCGGCAGGCCUAACACAUGCAAGUCGAGCGGAUGAAGGGAGCUUGCUCCUGGAUUCCGCGGCGGACGGGUGAGUAAUGCCUAGGAAUCUGCCUGGUCGUGGGGGAUAACGUCCGGAAACGGGCGCUAAUACCGCAUACGUCCUGAUGGUGAAAGUGGGGGUUCUUUGGACCCCCCCCUUUCAGCUGUCCCUGGGUCGGAUUAGCUAGUUGGUGGGGUAAAGGCCUACCAAGGCGACGAUCCGUAACUGGUCUGAGAGGGUGAUCAGUCACACUGGAACUGAGACACGGUCCAGACUCCUACGGGAGGCAGCAGUGGGGAAUAUUGGACAAUGGGCGAAAGCCUGAUCCAGCCAUGCCGCGUGUGUGAAGAAGGUCUUCGGAUUGUAAAGCACUGUAAGUUGGGAGGAAGGGAAGUAAGUUAAUACCUGGCUGUUUUGACGUUACCAACAGAAUAAGCACCGGCUAACUUCGUG
rnacentral:rRNA from 1 species